rnacentral:rRNA from 1 species
GAUGAACGCUAGCUACAGGCUUAACACAUGCAAGUCGAGGGGCAGCAUGAACUUAGCUUGCUAAGUUUGAUGGCGACCGGCGCACGGGUGAGUAACACGUAUCCAACCUUCCGUUUACUCAGGGAUAGCCUUUCGAAAGAAAGAUUAAUACCUGAUAGUAUGGUGAGAUUGCAUGAUAGCACCAUUAAAGAUUUAUUGGUAAACGAUGGGGAUGCGUUCCAUUAGGUAGUAGGCGGGGUAACGGCCCACCUAGCCGACGAUGGAUAGGGGUUCUGAGAGGAAGGUCCCCCACAUUGGAACUGAGACACGGUCCAAACUCCUACGGGAGGCAGCAGUGAGGAAUAUUGGUCAAUGGGCGAGAGCCUGAACCAGCCAAGUAGCGUGAAGGAUGAAGGUCCUACGGAUUGUAAACUUCUUUUAUACGGGAAUAAAGUAUCCUACGUGUAGGAUUUUGUAUGUACCGUAUGAAUAAGCAUCGGCUAACUCCGUGCCAGCAGCCGCGGUAAUACGGAGGAUGCGAGCGUUAUCCGGAUUUAUUGGGUUUAAAGGGAGCGCAGACGGGAGAUUAAGUCAGUUGUGAAAGUUUGCGGCUCAACCGUAAAAUUGCAGUUGAUACUGGUUUCCUUGAGUGCAGUUGAGGCAGGCGGAAUUCGUGGUGUAGCGGUGAAAUGCUUAGAUAUCACGAAGAACCCCGAUUGCGAAGGCAGCUUGCUAAACUGUAACUGACGUUCAUGCUCGAAAGUGUGGGUAUCAAACAGGAUUAGAUACCCUGGUAGUCCACACGGUAAACGAUGGAUACUCGCUGUUGGCGAUAUACUGUCAGCGGCCAAGCGAAAGCAUUAAGUAUCCCACCUGGGGAGUACGCCGGCAACGGUGCAACUCAAAGGAAUUGACGG